rnacentral:lncRNA from 1 species
AUGCUCCCAGCUUCAGUGCUGACGGUAAUAAGCAGGUGUGUGUGUGUGUGUGUUUCUGCGGCGUCUGACACUCUCGAGCAUGAGUUGUGCUCCACUGAUAUGAAACGAGACUUCUUCUGCCACAGACUGCCACCGUUACUGCUGGAGCAGGCCGAACUCGAACCUGGUGAGUCUCACUGGCCUGCCGUCGCGUGUUUGACGCACCGCUGAUGUCUGUGACCAACGGGUUUCUCUUUAGCUGAGAGACCGCCGUCGCUGCAAGACACCGUGUGUCUCCGGUUCAAACGGUGGAGCCCGAGACAACACACACAACCAAUCAAAAUUCUGGAAUAAUUAACAUACGUAAUGUUUCCGAAAGAGUCUCAUCUGCUCACCAGUGCUGCAUUUAUUUGAACAAAAUACAGUAAAAAUUGUGAAAUAGUUUUGUAAUGUAAAACAGCUGUUUUCUGUGUGAAUCUCUGUUAAACUGUAAUUUAAUUCUGUGAUGUGCAGCUGUAUUUUCAGCAUCAUUACUCCAGUCUUCAGUGUCAAGUCAAGUCACCUUUAUUUAUAUAGCGCUUUAAAACAGAUUGUCAAAGCAACUGAACAACAUUUAUUAGGAAAACAGUGUCAAUAAUGCAAAAUGACAGUUAAAGGCAGUUCAUCAUUGAAUUCAGUGAUGUCAUCAUGCAGCUCAGUUCAGUUUAAAUAGUAUCUGUGCAAUAAUUUGCAAUCAAGUCAAUGAUAUCACUGUAAAUGAAGUGUCCCCAACUAAGCAAGCCAGAGGCGACAGCGGCAAGGAACCAAAACUGCAUCAGUGACAGAAUGGAGAAAAAACCUUGGGAGAAACCAGGCUCAGUCGGGGGGUCAGUUCUCCUCUGACCAGACGAAACCAGCAGUUCAAUUCCAGGCUGCAGCAAAGUCAGGUUGUGCAGAAGAAUCAUCUGUUUCCUGUGGUCUUGUCCCGGUGGUCGUCUGAGACAUUCAGUGAUGUCAUCAUGCAGCUCAGUUCAGUUUAAAUAGUAUCUGUGCAAUAAUUUGCAAUCAAGUCAAUGAUAUCACUGUAAAUGAAGUGUCCCCAACUAAGCAAGCCAGAGGCGACAGCGGCAAGGAACCAAAACUGCAUCAGUGACAGAAUGGAGAAAAAACCUUGGGAGAAACCAGGCUCAGUCGGGGGGUCAGUUCUCCUCUGACCAGACGAAACCAGCAGUUCAAUUCCAGGCUGCAGCAAAGUCAGGUUGUGCAGAAGAAUCAUCUGUUUCCUGUGGUCUUGUCCCGGUGGUCGUCUGAGACAAGGUCUUUACAGGGGAUCUGACUCUGGGGCUCUAGUUGUCCUGGUCUCCGCUGUCUUUCAGGAAUGUAGAGGUCCUUUCUAGGUGCUGAUCCACCAUCUGGUCUGGAUACAUACUGGAUCCGGGUGACUGCAGUGACCAUCUGACUUGGAUACAGACUGGAUCUGGUGGCUACGGUGACCUCGGAAUAAGAGAGAAACAGACUAAUAUUAGCGUAGAUGCCAUUCUUCUAACGAUGUAGCAAGUACAUCGGGUGUUAUGGGAAGUGUUCCCGGUUCCGGUUUACCUAAUUAAUGCAACCUAAAAAUCCUUUAACGGAUUUGGAUAUUAGAAGCGUAUUAGUGUGUUAUGUGUAGAGGGCUGUAGAGGUCCUUUCUAGGUGCUGAUCCACCAUCUGGGCUGGAUACAUACUGGAUCCGGGUGACUGCAGUGACCCUCUGACUUGGAUACAGACUGGAUCUGGUGGCUACGGUGACCUCGGAAUAAGAGAGAAACAGACUAAUAUGAGCGUAGAUGCCAUUCUUCUAACGAUGUAGCAAGUACAUCGGGUGUUAUGGGAAGUGUUCCCGGUUCCGGUUUACCUAAUUAAUGCAGCCUAAAAAUCCUUUAACGGAUUUGGAUAUUAGAAGUGUAUUAGUAUGUUAUGUGUAAGCCAGGUUAAAGAGAUGGGUCUUUAAUCUAGAUUUAAACUGCAAGAGUGUGUCUGCCUCCCGAACAAUGUUAGGUAGGUUGGUUUAAGUAUUAUAACAAUAAACAAAUUACUCAAAAUUACUGAAAAAAAAAAAAAAAUCUGGAACAAAUUUCUGAUAAACAUUUCAAGCAUGUUUCAUGCUUUAAAAUAAUUAAAGAUGCUUUUUAGUUAACGCAAUUUAUUUUAACCAUUAAAAUGAAAUCCAUAAAAAUUAAAACUCCCUAUACAUUCCAGCUUUAUUUCAUCCUCAUGAAUUCCCCUUCAUAACAUUCAUGUUCUGGCCUAGAUGACGCACAUUAAGCGUUCCACGGCUUUUACAAGAUUGUGGGAUAAGCACGUGCCUUUAGAGCCAACAUUUCAAUGAACUGUUGAAUUCUGUGGUUUUCUAAUGUGGGCUCAGAGGUCAAACGUCUGAUUCACUGUUUGG